rnacentral:rRNA from 1 species
GACGAACCGUACGAACGUUAUUCGGAAUCACUGGGCUUAAAGGGUGCGUAGGCUGUGCGGAAAGUUGGGUGUGAAAUCCCUCGGCUCAACCGGGGAAUUGCGCCCAAAACUACCGCGCUCGAGGGAGACAGAGGUGAGUGGAACUUCGGGUGGAGCGGUGAAAUGCGUUGAUAUCCGAAGGAACACCAGUGGCGAAAGCGACUCACUGGGUCUCUUCUGACGCUGAGGCACGAAAGCUAGGGUAGCGAACGGG